rnacentral:snRNA from 1 species
AUUAGCUCUAUCUGAUCU